UGCCACCAUGUGAAGAAGGACGUGUUGCUUCCCCUUCCACUAUGAUUCUGCAUUUCUUGAGACCUCCCGAGCCAUGCAGAACUGGUCUCUUUCUGCCUCCCAAGCUGGAAUGCCAUGAUGCGAUCUUGACUCACUUCAGCCUCAGCCACCCGGGCUCAGGGCUCAGGUGAUCCUCCUACCUCAGACUCCUGAGCAGCUGGAACUACAGGAAUUGACUUGCUUUGGCCAAGAAAUGUGAGCAGAAGUGAUGAGAACCACUUUCAACCAAAGUUUUAAGAGUCAUCAUAUGAUAUCUUACAAAAGAGAAAGGAGGAGAGAGAAAAACAGGAAAACUUGUUUUUCUAAGGAUGAGCUUAUUGGAGGUGAAAACUCUUCAAAAAACUUCAGAAAUUAUUCUCCACCACUAAGAAGAUACUUGAGGCCUCCUUAAAUUAGUUGCAGUAACACAUGGAACAAGAGAUCCACAUUCUCCAACAAUAUAGAAACCAGAAUUCAGCAGCUCUGCAAGAAAUCUAGUCAACACAUUUAUUAUGAUGAUUUAUUAUUCACUGAGCACCAACUCAGUGCUUCUUAU
rnacentral:lncRNA from 1 species